GCGAACGCUGGCGGCGUACUUAACACAUGCAAGUCGAACGAGGAGCUUCGGUGUAGCAAUACAUCGGAGCUUCGAGUGGCGCACGGGUGAGUAACACGUGGGCAACCUGCCCUCGAGUUCGGGAUACCCUCUCGAAAGGGAGGCUAAUACCGGAUACGUUCUUCGGAUCGCAAGGUCUGGAGAGGAAAGGUAGCGAAAGCUGCCGCUCUUGGAGGGGCUCGCGGCCUAUCAGCUAGUUGGUGAGGUCAUGGCUCACCAAGGCGAUGACGGGUAGCUGGUCUGAGAGGACGACCAGCCACACGGGAACUGAGACACGGUCCCGACUCCUACGGGAGGCAGCAGUGGGGAAUUUUCCGCAAUGGGCGAAAGCCUGACGGAGUGACGCCGCGUGGGGGACGAAGGCCUUCGGGUCGUAAACCCCUGUCAGAGGGAAAGAAGGGUCGGCGCGUGAAUAGCGCGUCGAUCUGACGGUACCUUCAGAGGAAGCCCCGGCCAACUCUGUGCCAGCAGCCGCGGUAAGACAGAGGGGGCAAGCGUUGCUCGGAAUCACUGGGCGUAAAGGGCGCGUAGGCGGGAUGGCAAAUCGGUCGUGAAAUCCCUGGGCUCAACUCAGGAGGGUCGGCCGAUACUGCCGUUCUUGAGGGAUGCAGAGGAGACUGGAAUUCCCGGUGUAGCGGUGAAAUGUGUAGAGAUCGGGAGGAACACCGGUGGCGAAGGCGGGUCUCUGGGCAUUCCCUGACGCUGAGGCGCGAAAGCGUGGGGAGCAAACGGGAUUAGAUACCCCGGUAGUCCACGCGGUAAACGAUGACGACUAGGUGUGGGGGGGUUAAGUCCCUUCCGUGCCGCAGCUAACGCGUUAAGCGAUCCGCCUGGGGAGUACGGUCGCAAGGCUGAAACUCAAAGGAAUUGACGGGGGCCCGCACAAGCGGUGGAGCAUGUGGUUCAAUUCGACGCAACGCGAAGAACCUUACCUGGGCUCGAAGCGCAGUGCACCGGAGUGGAAACACUCCUUCCCGCAAGGGGUGCUGCGUAGGUGCUGCAUGGCUGUCGUCAGCUCGUGUCGUGAGAUGUUGGGUUAAGUCCCGCAACGAGCGCAACCCUUAUUGCCAGUUACUAACGGGUCAUGCCGAGAACUCUGGCGAAACUGCCUCCGACAAGGGGGAGGAAGGUGGGGAUGACGUCAAGCCCUCAUGGCCUUUAUGUCCAGGGCUACACACGUGCUACAAUCGCCGGUACAAACCGUCGCAAACCCGCGAGGGGGAGCUAAUCGGAAAAAGCCGGCGUCAGUUCGGAUUGGAGUCUGCAACCCGACUCCAUGAAGCUGGAAUCGCUAGUAAUCGCGGAUCAGAACGCCGCGGUGAAUACGUUCCCGGGCCUUGUACACACCGCCCGUCACAUCACGAAAGUGGGCGAUACUAGAAGUCGGUGGGCCAACCCGCAAGGGAGGCAGCUGCCCAAGGUAUGGCUCAUGAUUGGGGUG
rnacentral:rRNA from 1 species